GCCAGGCAUGGUGGUGUACACCUGUAAUCCCAGCCACUGGGAGGCUGAAGCAGGAGAAUCCCAAGUUCAAAGCCAGCCUCAGCAACCGCAAGGUGCUGAGCAACUUAGUGAGACCCUGUCUAUA
rnacentral:sRNA from 1 species